UACAGAGGGAGGGCAAGCGUUGUCCGGAAUCAUUGGGCGUAAAGCGCGCGUAGGCGGCCCGGUAAGUCCGUUGUGAAAGUCAAAGGCUCAACCUUUGAACGCCGAUGGAUACUGCCGGGCUAGAGUCCGGAAGAGGCGAGUGGAAUUCCUGGUGUAGCGGUGGAAUGCGCAGAUAUCAGGAGGAACACCAAUAGCGAAGGCAGCUCGCUGGGACGGUACUGACGCUGAGACGCGAAAGCGUGGGGAGCGAACAGG
rnacentral:rRNA from 1 species